UUGAGCCUGACUUACACCCAAUAGUUUGCACCUCUCACCCCCCCCCCACCGUUGCCACUCCCCCUGCUCUUCCCACUGGUAACCACUAGUGUGUGUGUGUUAUUAACAGUUCCCAGAAGAGGGUUCUAUAAAUACUCUUUGGUAAAGACAGGAUCACAAUAUACCCUAGUUUAAUUAAUAAUAUUAGAUUAAAUAUUUU